rnacentral:rRNA from 1 species
GACGAACGCUGGCGGCGUGCUUAACACAUGCAAGUCGAGCGGUAAGGCCCUUUCGGGGGUACACGAGCGGCGAACGGGUGAGUAACACGUGGGUGACCUGCCCUCAGCUCUGGGAUAAGCCCGGGAAACUGGGUCUAAUACCGGAUAUGACUCCAUGACGCAUGUUGUGGGGUGGAAAGCCUUGUGCGGCUGAGGAUGGGCCCGCGGCCUAUCAGCUUGUUGGUGGGGUGAUGGCCACCAAGGCGACGACGGGUAGCCGGCCUGAGAGGGCGACCGGCCACACUGGGACUGAGAUACGGCCCAGACUCCUACGGGAGGCAGCAGUGGGGAAUCUUGCGCAAUGGGCGAAAGCCUGACGCAGCGACGCCGCGUGAGGGAUGACGCCUGUGU